rnacentral:rRNA from 1 species
ACAAGAUAGUGAUAUUAAGCAAAACCCAAAAAGCAGUCUCAGUUCGAAUUGAAGGCUGAAAUUCGCCUUCAUGAAGCCGGAAUUGCUAGUAAUGGCAGGUCAGCAUACUGCCGUGAAUACGUUCCCGGGCCUUGUACACACCGCCCGUCACACCAUGAGAGUUGGGGAUACCCGAAGCCUGUGAGCCAACAGUUUACUGAGGCAGCAGUCGAAGGUAGAAUCAAUGAUUGGGGUGAAGUCGUAACAAGGUAAC